UACAGAGGCCUCGAGCGUUAGGCGGAAUCACUGGGCUUAAAGCGUGUGUAGGCGGACUUCUAAGUACCUUGUGAAAUCCCACGGCUCACCCGUGGAACUGCUCGGUAUACUGGUCGUCUUGAGCCUUCUAGGGGCGAGUGGAACAAAUGGUGGAGCGGUGAAAUGCGUAGAUAUCGUCUGGAACGCCGAAGGUGAAAACAGCUCGCUGGGGCCGCGCUGACGCUGAGACACGAAAGCCAGGGGAGCGAACGGG
rnacentral:rRNA from 1 species